rnacentral:tRNA from 1 species
GCCCCCGUAGCCCAAUCGGUAGAGGCAAGCGGCUUAAACCCGCUCCAGUAUGGGUUCGAGUCCCGUCGGGGGCGCCA